UAGGGAAUCUUCGGCAAUGGGGGCAACCCUGACCGAGCAACGCCGCGUGAGUGAAGAAGGUUUUCGGAUCGUAAAGCUCUGUUGUAAGAGAAGAACGUGUGUGAGAGUGGAAAGUUCACACAGUGACGGUAACUUACCAGAAAGGGACGGCUAACUACGUGCCAGCAGCCGCGGUAAUACGUAGGUCCCGAGCGUUGUCCGGAUUUAUUGGGCGUAAAGCGAGCGCAGGCGGUUUAAUAAGUCUGAAGUUAAAGGCAGUGGCUUAACCAUUGUUCGCUUUGGAAACUGUUAAACUUGAGUGCAGAAGGGGAGAGUGGAAUUCCAUGUGUAGCGGUGAAAUGCGUAGAUAUAUGGAGGAACACCGGUGGCGAAAGCGGCUCUCUGGUCUGUAACUGACGCUGAGGCUCGAAAGCGUGGGGAGCAAACAGGA
rnacentral:rRNA from 2 species